rnacentral:rRNA from 1 species
CUAGUAAUGGCAGGUCAGCAUACUGCCGUGAAUACGUUCCCGGGCCUUGUACACACCGCCCGUCACACCAUGAGAGUUGGAAAUACCCGAAGCCUGUGAGCUAACAGUAAUGAGGCAGCAGUCGAAGGUAGAGCCAAUGAUUGGGGUGAAGUCGUAACAAGGUAAC